UACGGGGGGGACUAACGUUAUUCUUCAUAACUGGGCGUAAAGGGUGAGUAGGUCGCUUUUUAAGUCUAAAUUAAAGAAUCUAAGCUUAACUUAGAAAUUAAUUUUUAUACUGAAGAGCUCUGAGGUCGAUAAAGGUUUGUUAUAUUCUUGAAGUAAAAGUAAAAUCUUAACAUAUCGAGAGGAUAUCCGAGAGGUUAAUACGACUUACUAUAUCGGUGCUGACACUGAGGUACGAAGGCAUGGGCAUCAAACGGG
rnacentral:rRNA from 1 species